CAUUACUGAGUUUACGCUCUAUAACCCUUUGUGAACAUACCUAUAACUGUUGCUUCGGCGGGUAGGGUCUCCGUGACCCUCCCGGCCUCCCGCCCCCGGGCGGGUCGGCGCCCGCCGGAGGAUAACCAAACUCUGAUUUAACGACGUUUCUUCUGAGUGGUACAAGCAAAUAAUCAAAACUUUUAACAACGGAUCUCUUGGUUCUGGCAUCGAUGAAGAACGCAGCGAAAUGCGAUAAGUAAUGUGAAUUGCAGAAUUCAGUGAAUCAUCGAAUCUUUGAACGCACAUUGCGCCCGCCAGCAUUCUGGCGGGCAUGCCUGUUCGAGCGUCAUUUCAACCCUCAAGCUCUGCUUGGUGUUGGGGCCCUACAGCUGAUGUAGGCCCUCAAAGGUAGUGGCGGACCCUCCCGGAGCCUCCUUUGCGUAGUAACUUUACGUCUCGCACUGGGAUCCGGAGGGACUCUUGCCGUAAAACCCCCCAAUUUCCAAAGGUUGACCUCGGAUCAGGUAGGAAUACCCGC
rnacentral:rRNA from 1 species